rnacentral:ncRNA from 2 species
UUCUUAUCUAGAGAGGUGGAGGGACUGGCCCUUUGAAACCUCGGCAGCGGAUCUGAACGGAUGUCUCCGUCAGAAACUGUGCCAACUCCAGCACGCCUGUGGGCGUGACAGAUGAGGA